GACGAACGCUGGCGGCGCGCCUAACACAUGCAAGUCGAACGAGCGAGAGCGAGCUUGCUUUCUUGAUCGAGUGGCGAACGGGUGAGUAACGCGUGAGUAACCUGCCUCAAAGUGUGGGACAACUGCUGGAAACGACUGCUAAUACCGCAUAGGCCCACCGGCCCGCUUGGGACGGAUGGAAAAGCGGCACUCGGCUUUGGGAUGGCGUCGCAUCCGAUUGGGUUGUUGGUGUGGUAACGGCCCACCAAUGCGACGGUCGGGAGCCGGGCGGGGGUGCCGAACCGCCACAUUUGGACUGAGACACGGCCUAGACUCGUACGGGAAGCAGCAGUGGAUAAUAUUGCACACUGGAGGAAAACCUGAUGCAGCGACGCGGCGUGUAGGAAGAAGGUCUUCGGAUUGUAAACUCCUGUUGUUGGGGAAGAGAAUGACGGUACCCGACAAGGAAGUGACGGCUAACUACGUG
rnacentral:rRNA from 1 species